GGACGAUUAGCUCAGUUGGUUAGAGCGUCUCCUUCACACGGAGAGGGUCGGGGGUUCGAGUCCCUCAUCGUCCACCA
rnacentral:tRNA from 1 species